AUUGAACGCUGGCGGCAGGCCUAACACAUGCAAGUCGAGCGAGCGGCGGACGGGUGAGUAAUGUCUGGGAAACUGCCUGAUGGAGGGGGAUAACUACUGGAAACGGUAGCUAAUACCGCAUACCAUCAGAUGUGCCCAGAUGGGAUUAGCUAGUAGGUGGGGUAAUGGCUCACCUAGGCGACGAUCCCUAGCUGGUCUGAGAGGAUGACCAGCCACACUGGAACAGAGACAGGGUACAGACUCCUACGAGAGGCAGGAGGGGGGAAUAUUGCACAAGGGGCGAAAGCCGGGUGCAGCCGUGCCGCGUGUAUGAAGGGGGCCUGCGGGUUGUAAAGUACUUUCAGCGGGGAGGCGUUACCCGCAGAAGACGCAGCGGCUAACUGCGUGCCAGGAGCCGCGGUAUC
rnacentral:rRNA from 1 species